rnacentral:rRNA from 1 species
AUGGAGCCUGUGGUGAGCUCUACGCAUGGCACCUUGGCUCCAUUGGUGGCCAAGCUCACCGCCUUGCUCGCCGACGAGUGUGGCCGCCUGAAAGGGGUCCGCCGCGAGAUCCGCUCCCUGAGAUCUGAGCUGACUAGCAUGCAUGCUGCGCUCAAAGAGUACACCAAGCAAGAAGAUCCAAGUGACCAAGUGAAGGCAUGGAUAUCACUAGUGAGGGAGUUGGCAUACGACAUCGAGGAUGUCUUUGACAAGUUCAUCAAGCGCAUCGGCAAAGACAACCAUCAUGGUGGCUUCAAGGAUUUCUUCCGCAAGACCGCUCGUCGCCUGAAGACGCUUGGGUCUCGGCGUGGAAUCGCCAACCAAAUUGAUGACCUCAAGGCUCGCAUCAGGCAAGUGAAAGAGCUCAAGAAUAGUUACAAGCUUGAUGAUGCUCCUUGCAGCACCUCUAGCCAUGCGGCCGUGGAUCCCCGGCUGCAUGCACUUUUUGCUGAGGAGGCGCACCUUGUGGGUGUGGAUGGUCCAAGAGAUGACCUUGCCAAUUGGUUAGUGAAAGAAGAAAAUUCCUCCAACAAGCAUCGCAGGGUGUUGUCUAUUGUUGGGUUUGGUGGAUUGGGAAAGACCACACUGGCAGAUCAAGUCUAUCGCAAGAUACAUGGACACUUUCAUUGUCGGGCUUUCGUGUCAGUCUCACAAAAGCCAGAUAUAAAGAAAAUUGUGAAGGAUGUGAUCUCUCAAGUAUCUUGCCAAGAUAAAUCCAAACAAGAUAUCAGUGAGUGGGACGAAAAGAAGUCUAUUGCAAAACUAAGAGAACUGCUACAAGAUAAGAGGUACCUUAUCAUCAUUGAUGAUAUAUGGUCUAAGCCGGCAUGGGAUGCUAUCAAAUGUGCUUUUCCAGAGAAUAGUCAUUCUAGCAGAAUUAUAGUUACUACACGAAUUGUUGAUGUAGCAAGGCUGUGUUCCCCUGGGAGUGAUGACCGCAUGUAUGAAAUGGAAGUCCUAAGUGAUAUUCACUCUAGAAGGUUGUUUUUCAAAAGAAUUUUUGGCUCUGAGGAAAGCUGCCCUCCUAUGCUAAAAGAAAUUUCAAAUGAAAUCCUGAAAAAAUGUGGAGGCCUACCAUUAGCAAUUAUCAGCAUAUCAAGUUUAUUGUCAAGCAGAACUGCUGUAAAAGAGGAGUGGGAGAAGAUCAAAAGGUCAAUUGGUUUUGCACUAGAGAAAAACCAGAGCCUAGAGACAAUGAGUACCAUACUAUCCCUUAGCUACAAUCAUCUUCCACCUAAUCUCAAGACUUGUCUGUUAUAUUUGAGCAUAUUUCCCGAGGACUACAUCAUAGAGAGAGAAAGGUUAGUGAGGCUAUGGAUCGCAGAAGGCUUUAUUUCUGAAGAGUGUGGACAGAGCCAACAAGAGGUCGCCGAGAGCUAUUUUUAUGAGCUUAUCAAUAAAAGCAUGGUCCAACCGGUGGGCAUUGGCUAUGAUGGUAAGGCACGUGCUUGUCGGGUUCAUGACAUGAUGCUAGAAAUUAUUGUUGCAAAAUCUGCUAAAGAUAAUUUUGUUACGGUGGUAGGCGGUGGUCAAACGAGUUUGGCAAAUCAUCAAGGUUUCAUUCGGCGACUGUCAGUGCAGUACAUUGACCAGGAGCUUGCAUCUGCAUUGGCGAGUGAAGAUCUAAGGCAUGUUCGAUCUCUAACAGUGACAAUAACUAGUGGCAUCGAACGCUUGCCUAGUCUGGUUGAAUUUGAAGCUUUACGAGUGGUGGACUUUGCAGAUUGUGAGGGCUUGGGGCAGUAUAUUAUGAAUGGCAUGGAGAAAUUGAUCCAGUUAAGGUACCUCAGACUUAGGGGCAGGGGCAUAUCAAAGCUACCAUCAGGGAUUGUGAUGCUAGGCGACCUAGAGACCCUAGAUAUUCAGUACACAGCUGUGCAAGAGUUGCCAGAUAAAAUUGUUCAGCUGACUAAACUACAACACCUAAUCACCGCCGGUGGCACAAAGAUACCAGAUGGAAUUGGGAAUAUGAUGAGCUUAAGGGUGGUCACAGGCUUUAAUAUUACCGGGAGUUCUACGCAUGCUGUGGAGGGUCUUAGGAACUUGACAAGUUUGGAUGAACUCAAUGUAGAUCUUGAUAGUGGAAAAUCUGAUGAGUACAAGAGCCAUGAAGAGAUGUUACUUUCCUCACUGCGUAAACUUGGCAGGUGCAAGCUCCAGUAUUUACAGAUAACUAGGAUCGAUGGUUCCCUCGAGUUCUUAGAAUCUUGGUUCCCUCUGCCAUAUUCCCUUCAGAAAUUCCACAUGUCCAGCAGCUACUGUUUUACGGAUGUUCCAAAGUGGAUUGCACCAGCACUCACCAGCCUUUCUUACCUGGAUAUCAAUUUAACUGAAUUAACAGAGGAGGGUCUGCACACUCUUGGGGAGCUCUCAGCCUUACUUUGCCUAAAACUAUGCUGGGAAAAAGACCCAGAAGAAAGGCUUACAAUUCAAGGCACUGGAUUCCCAUGUCUGAAGGAGUUUGUGCUAUCUGAUGGGGCAUACGUUACAUUCAUGGAAGGCGCGAUGCCCAAGCUUGAGAACCUUAGGCUGUCAGUCGCUGUGUCAGUGGCAAAAACUUGUGGCUUCUAUUUAGGCAUUGAGCAUCUCACAUGUCUCAAACAAGCAAGGAUAUGGCUUGAUAACGAAGAUGUGACAACUUCAGAAAGCAAGGCUGCAGCUGCUGCGGUCACUAAAGAAGCAGGUGCUCAUCCGAACCGUCCUAUAGUUACUAUUGAGGGAAGAUGGUAUGAAGAGGCCGCAGCCAGCCAUGAAGAAAAGAACAAUGAGGAUGGCGACAACUAG